rnacentral:rRNA from 1 species
CCUUGUUGAUCAUGCCAGUAGUCAUAUGCUUGUCUUAAAGAUUAAGCCAUACAUAUGUAAGUAUGAACAAAUUCAGACUGUGAAACUGCGAAUGGCUCCUUAAAUCAGUUAUAGUAUGUUUGAUGGUAUCUACUACUCGGAUAACUAUAGUAAUUCUAUAGCUAAUACAUGCAACAAACCCUGACUUUUGGAAAGAUCCAUUUAUUAGAUAAAAUUUGAUGCGAGCUCUACACAUUGCUGUAAUGAUUAAUGAUAACUUGAUUGAUCGCAUAACCAUUAUGCCGGUGAGAAAGCCUGAGAAACGGCGACCACAUACAAGGAAAGCAGUAGACACACAAAUUACCCAAUCUUGACACGGGCAGGUUGUGAUAAUGAAUAACCAUAUCGGGCUCAAUGAUUCUGGUAAUUGGGAAGAGUACAAUCUAAAUCCCUUAACGAGGAUCCAUUUGAGGAAAAUUUUGGUAGCAACAACCAUGGUAAUUCAAGCUAUAAUAGCAUAAACUUAAAUUGUUGUAGUUAAAAAUCUCAUAGAUGUACUUUGGGAUGGGCCAGCCAUCCUUCCUAUGGUGUGCACCGGUUGUCUCACCCUUUUGUUGGAAAUUCAUUCCUGGCCUUAAUUGGCUGGGUCAUUCCUCUAGCUCUGUUACUAUGAAGAAAAUAAAGUGCUCAAAUCAAGCCUACGCUCUGUAUAUAUUAUCUUGGGAUAACAUUAUAUUAUUUUGGUCCUAUUACAUUAUCCUUCAGGAUCAGAGUAAUGAUUAACAGUGACAUUUGGGGGCAUUCAUAUUUCAUAGUCAGAAGUGAAAUUCUUAGAUUUAUGAAAGACUAACAACUACUAAAACAUUUGCCAAGGAUGUUUUCAUUUAUCAAGAACAAAAUUUGAGGGCUAGAAGAUGAUCAGAUACCUUCCUAGUCUCAACAAUAAAUGAUGUCGACCAUGGAUGGACGGAUGUUGCUGUUAGGACUCUGCCGGCACCUUAUGAGAAAUUUUUGUUUUUGGUUUGUGGGGGGAUUACGGUCGCAAGGCUGAAAUAUAAUUGAAUUGAUGGAAGGGCACCACAAGGAGUGAAUCCUCUGGCUUAAUUUGAGGAGCUAUUUUUCUUAUUAAUUUUGUUAAAGAAUGAGACCUCAGCCUGCUAACUAUCAAUGUAGAGGUAUCCCUUUACGGCCAGCUUCUUAAAGGGACUACGGCCUUUUAGGCAAUGAAAGCUUGAGAUAAUAACAGGUCUGUGAUGCCCAUAGAUGCUCUAGGCCGCAGACAUGCUACAUGGAUAUAUUCAACAAGUUUAUAGCCUUGAACAAAGGUAUAGGUAAUCUUUUAAAUUUCAUUAUGAUGGGGAUAGAUAAUUGCAAUUAUUGAUUUUCAACAAAGAAUUCCUAGCAAGCACGAGUCAUCAGCUCAUGUUAACUAUGUCCUGGCCCUUUUUAUCCACUACCCAUUGUCCCUACCAAUUGAAUGAUCUGGUGAAAUUUGGGUUGCAAUGAUAUGGACGGUUCGGUGCCUGUGACAUCGGAAGAAGUCCAUUGAACCUUAUCAUUUAUAGAAAGAAGAAGUCGUUGCAAAGUUUUCGAAGCUGAACCUGUGGAAG